UCAUAAUUGAAAAGUUUGUAGUCUGGAUGCAAAUUCCUGGAUAUUCGUGUAUUUCUAUCUAAGUUCACAUACACACUUUAACUCUUAAAUCAUGCGCUCAGUUUGGGACUGGUUUAAUCUAUGAACACACAGGUCACAUGGUUAGUGAUACGCAUGUUUAACACGACGUCACGCGGUGGCGGGAUGGGUCAUCGUCGAGGAUGUCGGCCACCGCUACUGCGCUGAACGAACCCCCGAUGCCGCCCCCUCCUGAUGUAGCCGCCGCCGCUUCCGUGGCUUCCCAUGUCAGCCCCUUCUGGCUCACACGACCUCCCUCACACAGCUGCCUCCCCGGCCGCCGCAUCCAUCAUACGUGGCCGCCAGUGAUGAGCGGUAGGCCGAAGUCUGGGCGCCGGUGUUCAUUUGUCAACCUAUAUGGAAGCACAUUUGUGUAGCAUGAAUUAGUUGGAACUGUAUGCAGACCGUAGGCCAAUUAUGGUAAGUUCCACGUGAGUUUCAGGUCCCACGAAGGAGGCACACCACCACCACUGGGUUGUGUGUCGGCUCCGUCUCUUCACUCUUUCUGUCGCUGAUGCAUUAGGUAGUUUUUAAUUAUCUUUUCUCCUCAUAAAUGAUUGAUUUAUCUGUUUGUUUCCUUCCAUUCGUUCUCUAGGUGGAUUCGAUGUGGUAUAGAAUAGGGUGGGAGAGGAACACACCGAGUGAGUUAAUUUGCGGUUCUCUCCUCCACUAGCUUCUCUAAUAAAUGUUCAGUUGUCAGUGCGUUGUUCAUCUCAUGGAAUUUUCAAGCUCAGUUUCUUGUUUCAAGCGAUUUAUCUUACUGAAUUUUGCAUUGAGAAAUCUUUAGGUGUGUGGGGAAGAGAGGAUUCAGGUUACACCACCGUUCGGCUAAUGUCGUUUCAAAACUUUCUUUUGCUGGGGCACACUGCUCCGUCAUCCUCGUCUUUGCUUUGUCUACUACUUCAGAAAAUGAUUGUGCAUCUUUCAUUGCUCUGCUAAAUUCCAAGUACCUACAAAUCUUCUUGUGACGGGGCUGUAGAAGAUAUAAAGGACUCACUGUUCUCUUUUUCGAGUCUGGCAGCACAAGCUGACUAAUGGUUUGACAUUUCAAUCAAUUUCCAUUCAUUCCGAAAUUGUGUAAUUGGUCUAAAUAGUGGAACAGAGGUAGGAGUAAGACUAGACGUCAGGUUGCAAGGGAUGCAUAAUUUUGUACCCGGCGUAGAGCACUCUUGGGCUUAAAUUCAUAUUGUUCAGUUCACUUUGAUGCAAUUCACGUGAUGCUUGGAAUUGACAAUACAUGUAUUGUACCGGAAAGUUGGUGUAAGUAAUCAUUAUUGAAGGUACAGAUAUAUUUAUGUGAGGCUUCGAUUAUGGUGCUCUUGUGCAACUUGUACAAGGCUGUAACUAGAUGCUCCGAAUAACUUUUGACUUUACACAACCACCGAACUAGGUAGCUAGAAAUUGUAUGGCUGCUAUCUCCUAUAGAUUUGUAUUCUAAAUUUCUAUUAACCCUCUACCAGAAUGCUC